CGCAACUCAUUUUCCUGGACGCGGAACACUUUUGUUUCCCCGCGGAUCAUAUGGAAAACCGCACAGAAUAAUCAUAGGACCGGUGUCAGGCAGUUACCCACACAGAAAAAUUAAUUUUUUCUAUGCGGGCCACUUAACACGUCCGCACGCGAAAAUAGCGUGUUAAGUGGUUCGCACACGAAAAUACGCGUCUACCAUUUAAUCCAGCCGCGCCCACUCCUCCCUUUCUCAUCCCCCUCCUUGAUUUCUCCCCUCUCUCUGUCAUUUCUCUCUUCCUCUCCCCCUCUCUUUCUUUCACCACGAGCGGGAGCGGCGGGCCGAUGACGAGGAGGCCCCGGGCCGAUCUGGCUGGCGCUCUCCCCGGCCUUCCUCUACGGCGACAGUGGCGACGAAAAUGUGGUGGGGCACGACAGCGGCGUCGACGACGAGGUGGCGCGUGAUGGCUGCGGCAGAUCCAGCGGCGGCCACCCCACGCGCGGAUCCGGCGGCGCGACGGCGGCGGCGGCCACCCCCCGCGCUGAUCCAGAGGCGGCUAGCCCACGCGCGGAUCUGGAGGUGUGACAGCGGCGGCGGCGGCCAGCCCACACGUGGAUCCGGAGGCGCGACGGCGGCUAAGGCCGCCCCCAGCAUGGAUCCGGCGGGGCGAUUGCGGCGGCGGCUAGCCCACGCGCAGAUCCGGAUGCGCGACGGCGGCGCCCCCCCUCCCCCCCCCCCCCCCCGCCCCGCGCGGAUCCGACGGCGUGACUGCGGCGGCGGCCGUUCCCUGUGCGGAUCUGGCGGCGGCGACGGCCCUCCGCCGCAUGAAUCCGGCGAUAGCGACGGCAGCGGGCAGCGGAUCCGGCCACGGCGACGGUGGCGACAGCUAAGGUUGAUGUGAUGGAAAAGAACUAAAGUUUGGAUUCAAACUUUAGAUCUAGACACAACCUAUACUAUUAAACUUGCUCUAAAAGUUAGUUGUCGAACCGAGGGAGAUGUGAGGUUCCUAGCGGCGUCGCACACGUUGGAGGGCACACAUGUGGUGGGCGGAUGGGGCCGGCCUAUGGGCAACGGCAAACAGCGGACAAGAAUUGGAGGAGAUACCGUGCGGACAGGGGACAAGAUCGUCCCGUCCCCUUAGCAUUCUCCUUUUUAAAAAAAAAAGAUUUUUGUAAUAUAGCUCGAGAAUAAUAUUGUGCAUACUAAUUAAAGAACUUGGCAGGAAAGCAUGUUAAUUGAUGUAUGAAUCCAUUUAUUACAAUUUUAUAUUUCCGUUUUGUAUAUAGCUUGACUUAUAGUUAACUUUGUAAAUCAAAAAUACACCGACGGGACUCAGAGCAGCAUACA